rnacentral:rRNA from 1 species
UACGUAGGGGGCAAGCGUUGUUCGGAAUUACUGGGCGUAAAGCGCACGUAGGCGGACAUUUAAGUCAGGGGUGAAAUCCCGGAGCUCAACUCCGGAACUGCCUUUGAUACUGGGUGUCUUGAGUGUGGAAGAGGUGAGUGGAAUUCCGAGUGUAGAGGUGAAAUUCGUAGAUAUUCGGAGGAACACCAGUGGCGAAGGCGGCUCACUGGUCCAUUACUGACGCUGAGGUGCGAAAGCGUGGGGAGCAAACAGG